rnacentral:rRNA from 1 species
GGUGACAGGUGCUGCAUGGCUGUCGUCAGCUCGUGUCGUGAGAUGUUGGGUUAAGUCCCGCAACGAGCGCAACCCUCGUCCUUAGUUGCCAGCAUUAAGUUGGGCACUCUAAGGAGACUGCCGGUGUUAAACCGGAGGAAGGCGGGGAUGACGUCAAGUCCUCAUGGCCCUUAUGUCCAGGGCUACACACGUGCUACAAUGGCCGGUACAAAGGGUAGCAAGACCGCGAGGUGGGGCCAACCCCAAAAAGCCGGUCUCAGUUCGGAUUGGAGUCUGCAACUCGACUCCAUGAAGUUGGAAUCGCUAGUAAUCGUGGAUCAGCAUGCCACGGUGAAUACGUUCCCGGGCCUU